CAACUUCACAGAAAGAGCGAGAUAAAUAACCAACAAGCUAAUGUAAAACAAUAUUUACAGAUUAUAGCAUGAGUAAAGGGGGAAAGGAAGGUACCAUAACUCCCAUCAUCAUUACGUCGCCAAUAGCGGACAUAACAUAGGUCACGAGGCCCUUCAUUUUCAGAAAUGGGCUAUUGACCAGAAUUUGGCUGCCUGUGAGAGCUUGAAACUGAACCAUCCACAGACGCAGGUCAGAAUACUUUUGGUGCCAACUGCUAGUUCAUUUUAAGGAGAAUGAUGCCAAAUCUGAUGUUGCUGUCUUUGUUUACAGGUUAGGAAUGACUCUGCUGGAGAUUUCCUCCAACUUUUGAAGGAGUGGGGUAAAUUAUGCAAGCGCUAUGUGCGUAACAAUGGUCAUACAACUGAUACAUUAAACCCCGAAAAUUCAACAAAGGAAGCCACUGAAAGUAGCUCUUCUACUGAAGAUGAUUCAGAACCUGAGGAGUACGAAGUUGAAAAGCUGGUUGAUAUAUGCUAUGGUGAUCCUGACAAGACAGGAGAACGUGGCCUAAAGUUUAAGGUAUGGCAAGAGGACAUGUCACAAUUUUGUUGUUGAUCGACUUUACUCUUUAGUCUUUACGGGUUUAAGAAUGUUCUUUUCACCUUCUACAACUUGCAAGAUAGAUAUUCUUCAUGUCUUUGCUCUCUUGCGACAUAGAAUUUAUGCUCAUGACUAUUUUAUCAGGUGCACUGGAAAGGAUAUAGCAGCAACGAAGAUACUUGGGAGCCAGCAAAGGAAUUGAGGUAUAUGAUUUAAAUUAAUGCUAAAAAGGGUCUCUGUUGUUUAUCCCGAUCUAAUUAAUAUUGUUUGAAAUUUUAGCAAUUGUCAAGAUGCCAUCCGGGAGUUUGUAACAAGUGGAUUCAAGAAGAAUAUCUUGCCACUUCCUGUAAGAUCGUUUCCUUUCAUCUAAAUUGAAUGUUUGAUCUUUGAAAAUUGUAUGAGUGUAGUACCAUCAACAUCUUAUUUCACUGAAAUCAGAAAAUUUUGUAAAUGAAUGUUAAUCCAGGGCGGUGUUGGCGUGAUAUGUGGUGGACCUCCAUGUCAAGGAAUUAGUGGCUAUAACCGCUUCAGGGAUGUUGAUUCUCCGUUGACUGAUGAAAGGAAUCAGCAAAUUGUAGUUUUCAUGGACAUAGUUGAGUAUCUGAAACCCAAAUUCGUGUUGAUGGAAAACGUUGUUGAUAUUCUGCGUUUGGACAAAGGUUCUCUUGGGAGGUACGCUUUGAGCCGUCUUGUGGACAUGAGAUACCAAGCGAGGCUAGGUAUCAUAACAGCUGGUUGCUAUGGUCUUUCCCAAUUUCGUUCCCGAGUUUUCAUGUGGGGAGCUGAUCCAAACAUGGUGAGUUUAUUAUAUGCCUACUUUUAACUUCCUCCUCCUGACUGUUUCCACGUUAAAAAUAAUUUGGUAUUAUAUUCCAGAAACUGCCUCCGUUUCCGCUUCCAACCCAUGAUGUUAUUGUCAGAUAUGGGUUUCCUCUCGAGUUCGAGGUAACAUUACUGUAAACUGGUGAUUACUUCGUACUCUUUGCCUGAGCCCUGGCGUUCUCCCAACUCAACCCAUCUUGGCUUUCAUGUUUCAGAGGAAUGUAGUUGCUUACAGUGAAGGUCAGCCCAGAGAUGUUGAAACAGCUCUUGUUCUAAAAGAUGCGAUAUCAGAUCUUCCUCAUGUAAGUUUCAUAUCCAUUAGAUCCAUGUGCAGUUCAGGGUUAAUCCCAUAGAUUUCUAAUUUUCUUUCAUUUCACAACUCUAGGUGUCAAACAACGAAACCCGGGAAAGAAUGUCCUAUGAAAGUCUCCCAGAGACAGAUUUCCAGAGAUACAUUAGAUCAACCAAACACGGUAAGUUGGACCUGUCUGGAAUUUUAGAAUUAAGAGUCUCAGAAAUGACUACUCACUCGCAUAUUCCAUAAGUUACUCAGGCGUUAGCGUUUUGCUUUGUCAGAUAUGACUGGCUCUGCGACUGAUAACUGUACAAAAAGGACGAUGCAACUGUAUGAUCACAGGCCGUCCCUUUUGUCUGAAGAUGAUUAUAACCGAGUUUGUCAAAUCCCAAAGAAGAAGGUAGUCACUUCUUUCUACUAACCAGUAUUCCGGCAGAGCAACAUUCUCACCGUAGAUAAUUUUGCAGGGAGCUAAUUUCAGGGAUCUUCCAGGGUUAAUCGUCAGAAACGACAAUACAGUCUGCCGUGAUCCAUCAAUGGAACCUGUCCUUCUGCCAUCAGGAAAACGUUUGGUAAAGACUCCUCUUAUAUAAGUAGAACCAUAUCAAAAAAUGUAGCUAUUGACAUGCUACUUGUUAAGUCUGCUGAUUGAACACUUGUAGAAAUUUUAGAAACGAAUAUAUGUAUAUAAAAUCAGCUGACGUGUGGCCCUCUUUAGGUACCAGAAUAUGUCUUUACUUUUCAGCAAGGGAAAUCUAAAAGGUAAUUUUCUUGAAACAAUUUGUUGAGCAUUCCUAUGUGUUUCUAAGUCUCUCUGGAUUUCUGGUAUGGCAGACCGUUUGCGCGUCUUUGGUGGGACGAAACAGUUCCAACCGUUCUGACAGUCCCCAGCUGCAGCAAUCAGGUAUCCUUAAACUCACCACCCAUGUAGAUCUCACUUGAAACCCAUCUUUUAUGUUCUUUAACAUUCAGUUUUCGCUAUUUACAGGCGUUUUUGCAUCCAGAGCAAGAUCGAAUACUAACCAUAAGAGAAGCCGCACGGCUUCAAGGUUUCCCUGAUUACUUCCAGUUCUGUGGAACCGUUAAACAAAGGUACUUUACUUGUUUUCUUUUGUAAAAAAGUCUAAAAAAAAAUAGCAGAGAUAAUAGUGUGACAGAUUCCUUAGCGAAUCUCACUCACUGCUUUUGGUUUUGUACAGGUACUGUCAGAUUGGAAAUGCAGUGGCGGUCUCGGUUUCUCGUGCUUUGGGCUAUUCUCUAGGUAUGACUUUCCGUGGUCUAGCCGGUGACGAGAAUAUGAUAAAACUUCCCCAGAAGUUUUCUCAUUCAAGUUACCUUCAGCUUCAAGAAUCCAUUCCUCACUAAAAUUAUGUAGUUGUACGACUUGGAAAGUCAAUAGCAGCAGAAAUGUUGUACCUUUUACCAUUUAUUUCUCUACACGAGGGUUGAGCUAAACGAAGACGUUCUGAGCUCAAACUCUUAUCAAUUUUUCUCAUCAAACUACAAAUUUUGUUGAUUAGUUAUGGCUGAUAAAACCAUGUUUAAUUUUUUUAAAAAAAUUUCUUUCAUUUUACAUGUGUUUAGUGUAAGCUUGAAGUAAACCCACUAUGCUUAUUUUUAUUCAAAAAGAGACUUUAAAAUGAUUUGAGCUCAUAAAGGCGUGAACCUAGCGCUAAUGACAAGGGCCAAUGACUAAUAGGAAAAAAAUUACAACAAUUAAAAACCAAGGAUAACAAAUGCCUUGGCUUUGAAUGCUUUGGUUAAAAGGAAAACCCGUGGGAUCUCUUUAUCUUACAGCUUCUAUGGCUUAUUAGUCUUCUAACAACUCCUUUGGUAAUACCAAAUUGGUAUGUACCAAAUCCUUAUAAAGCCUAGAGGCAUGUAAUCAUUGUCCCUUCAAUGCCAUUGUAAACUUGGCUACUCUAUGCCAAUGAAUGGGUCGAUUACCAAGCAAAAUAGAAGUUGCACAUUGUAACGAGAUAUGUAAUAAACUAUUUUUUUUCACUAUGAAUUGAUAUUACAAAAAUAAAAAAAAAGAUGUAUCGAAACAAAGAUGGGAAAAGAAAAGAAGACGUGAUAAAGAAUUGACCAUUUCAAAGAGCAACCAAACACUUUUAUGUGACAGAAAAUAUAUGAAAGUUUGAUGGUAAUUUUUUCUGAAGUGGUUGUUAAGGAGUCAAUACACUAUUUUAUUAAUCUGACUCCAGAUUCGGAACUAUAGCCGAAGAGAGCUCUAUAUGCGAAACCCGAACCGCACCGAUGAGCCUUUCCGGCAACUCCUCCGGUGUAUUUGCCUGCAAAACCGAACCAUAUUUGUUUUAUACAUUAUAACAGUAACCCCAACUACUUGAGCAAAAAAAAACAUAUGAUAUUAUGUGUCCGUUUGUUACCUACCUGUACAAGGAAAGCCAUUUCGACAACCAACGAUGUGAUUACACCAAUGACGAGACCCAGAACUCCAUUUGCAACAGUUGAUGAACCAAUAUCCACGUCGAUCUAACAAAUGAACACGAUACAAUCAUUGUGUUAUUAAUGUUUACAGAGAGAGCUUUCAUAUUCAAUGCAUGUUCACUCACUUCUAAGUAUGUCGGGCCACGAAUGUAGUUGCAGUCCACUGCUUUCCCGAGGAGACAUGGGGUGCUUCCCACGCUUUGCCGUACUAUCCAUGACCCCUGUUAUAGAUUUCGGUUAUAAUAUGGAAAAAAAUAAUGUGAAUAUAUACUUGCAGUAGUAAUCACACAAACAAAGAGAGAUAAAACAUACCUUAGGAACUUGAGGUAUAAGCUUUAGCCGGCUAUUUCGAAAUUCAUCGUCACCAUCAACAAAACGUUGCAACAGGGACCCAGGUACAAGUUCUUUCGUCACGAAAUAAAACACCAUACUGUAGUGUGUUGACCCCGGAACCUAUUAUUGAAAAAAACAGUUUUAAACGUGUAUAAAUAUGACUUUGUGGUUUGUGCAUUACGUUUAGAAUCUUAAUAAUAGUUUGGGGCCAAACUUACUUGAACAUUAACCACCAUCGAGAAUAGACCUUUCUCUGCAGCAACCUGAACAUUGUUUAUCGAAAGACUCAAUAAUCUUUCAUGGAGAUUUCUUUCUAAGCGAUAAAGAUGAAUCCACAAGCAAGAGUAUAAAUAACAUAGGAAGUAUUUGAAUAUUCUUACUUGUGCUGCGCAGCCUUUACGCCUAGCCACAUGAUCUAUUCUUUUACUGUCUUUGAACCAGCCUAAAUGCUCAGUAUUUAAACCUCUUGUUCUGAUUCAGCGAUCUGAAACUCAUCAUCAUCAUCUGAGUCUUCAUCCAGGAGCACGGAGUUUCUGUUGGCAGAGUUUGUUUGAUCAACAGAAAAUGCAGACUGGUGCACAGACCUUCCGCUCUUACUCAAGCUCAAGGAGGAAGAUGCCAUAUUAACCAUAACAGGGAUCCUGGUAUGAACACCUCUCUCAUCUGUCUGUGAAAACCAUUCCCGCAAACCUGCCAUGAGCACGAGACAAUGUAUUACAACGGAUGCUAAUAAAUUAGCCAGUGGAUUUCUUUUGAAAGAAAGCAUGAAAGAGUCUUCUGAAACCGCAUAAGAAACCAUCGGAGGUAUUAGAUAAGCCUAAUGAGCUCGAAGUAGGAAGCUUAAACUUAAUGAUAGGGUGCUCACCUGUUUUCUUGACAUCAGUCUCUGUUUUACUUGUUUCAGGCUGAAACAGUACACAAGAAUAACUAUUCAAUUCCAGAUGAUGCUUAAUAUUAGAAAAAAAAACCUAAAUGCUCAGUAUUUAAACCUCUUGUUCUGAUUCAGCGAUCUGAAACUCAUCAUCAUCAUCUGAGUCUUCAUCCAGGAGCACGGAGUUUCUGUUGGCAGAGUUUGUUUGAUCAACAGAAAAUGCAGACUGGUGCACAGACCUUCCGCUCUUACUCAAGCUCAAGGAGGAAGAUGCCAUAUUAACCAUAACAGGGAUCCUGGUAUGAACACCUCUCUCAUCUGUCUGUGAAAACCAUUCCCGCAAACCUGCCAUGAGCACGAGACAAUGUAUUACAACGGAUGCUAAUAAAUUAGCCAGUGGAUUUCUUUUGAAAGAAAGCAUGAAAGAGCUUACCAGCAACACUGUUCAGCAUUUGAAGAAGACAAUGUUGUUGAAAUGCUGGAAGAUAGCCUGCACCCCACCCUUUUAGAUCAAUUUGUAUUAGGUGUUGCACCUGUGUUCUAGGCCUCCCAUUUCGGGGCUUUAGCGGGGCAAUAUUAUAUCCUCCACCUAAGUUUAACAAAAGUAGGACGGGUUAGAUAGUAGUAGAUCCACGAUCAUAUUAAGCGUUCAGACAUUCUUUGAGUUUGCUAAGCUUACUCUCGAGAUGAGCACGGACACAUCCAGGUUGUGGACCACAAUUAUCAUGCUCCCUAGAACGGAACAGCACAACUUCACAGAAAGAGCGAGAUAAAUAACCAACAAGCUAAUGUAAAACAAUAUUUACAGAUUAUAGCAUGAGUAAAGGGGGAAAGGAAGGUACCAUAACUCCCAUCAUCAUUACGUCGCCAAUAGCGGACAUAACAUAGGUCACGAGGCCACACAACCCUGGAGCCAUUUGAAUCAAUUAGCAUAAAAGUAAGCUUCUCAAACUAGUAAAGUAAUAUUCUGACCAGAAACAGAAAGAUCACAAAUGCUAACAAUAACUAUAAUCCUGAAUUGUUCCCCUGGAGUUAUUGGAGCAUAUGAGAUCUAAUCAGUUGGAAUCAAAAUCACUU
rnacentral:lncRNA from 1 species